AGGAAGGUGGUUGAGUGGUUUAAAACAACGGUUUGCUAAAUCGUCACAUCUUUAAUAUUAUAUAAUGAUGUCAUGGGUUCGAAUCCCAUUCUUCCUA
rnacentral:tRNA from 1 species